rnacentral:lncRNA from 1 species
AUGCAUUCCCAAAAAAAACCUUCCCGGGGACACAUUCCCAAAAAAAAAAACAUCCCAGGGACGCGUUCCCAAAAAAAACAUCAUCCUGGGAAUGCAUUCCCAAAAUCCCGGGGACACAUUCCCAAAAAAUCCAACAACCUGGGAAUGCAUUCCCAAAAUCCCAGGGACACAUUCCCAAAAUCCCAGGGACACGUUCCCAAAAUCCCGGGGACACGUUCCCAAAAUCCCAGGGACACGUUCCCAAAAAAAACAACCUGGGAAUGCGUUCCCAAAAAAAAACAAUCCUGGGGACACGUUCCCAAAAAAAACAACAUCCUGGGAAUGCGUUCCCAAAAUCCCAAAAAAAACCAUCCCAGGAACACAGUCCCAAAAUUCCAGGGACACAUUCCCAAAAAACCGUCCCGGGAACGCGGCCCCAGAAUCCCAGGAAUGCAUUCCCAAAAUUCCUGGGUCCCAUUCCCAAAAUUCCAGGCCCCAGAAUUCCAGGGACGUGGCCCCAAAGUUUCAGGGAUGCAGCUCCAAAAUUCCGGGGUCCCAUUCCCAAAAUUCCCGGGUCCCAUUCCCAAAAUCCCAGGGACACGGCCCCAGAAUUCCAGGGUCCCAUUCCCAGAAUCCCAGAAUUCCAGGAAUUCCAGGAAUUCUCAGUUCUCCUCGGCCCCCUGCCGGGCGCGGAUGAAGCCAUUCCCAGAAUUCCAGGAACUCCAGGAAUCCCGGGAAUUCCAGGAAUCCUCAGUUCUCCUCGGCCCCCUGCCGGGCGCGGAUGAACGCCAUUCCGUGGGUCCGGAAAUGCGUUUUCAGGUUGAGCUGACUCUCGAAUCCUCUCCCGCAAACUUUGCACUCCAACUUCCCCUGCGCCGCUCCGCCUGUUCCUCCGCCUGUUCCUCCGCCUGUUCCUCCGCCUGUUCCCCCGGCUGUUCCCCCGGCUGCUCCCCCGGCGGAACCGGCGCCGCCCCCUCGGGAGGCGCUUCCCGGCUCCUCGGCGGGAUCCGAGCCCUUGCGCUUCUUGUGGGAGAUGAAGCGGUGCCGGCUGAGGGAGCCGGGGGAGGCGAAGCACAGCCCGCACUCCCGGCACUGCUGGCUGCCCGUCGCCGUGGCUGCGCCGCUUGUUCCGGUUGCGCUCGCGGUGU